CAUCGUCUUCCACACACUUCCAGUCCUUCAAUAUCUUCUUCUUCUUCUUCUGCGUACAAAUCUCCAUCAAAUCUCUUAACUCUCACAAUCUCCUUCAAUUUUCCCCAAAUCUAAACCCUAACCCUAGGGUUCUGCCAUGACCAGGGACACCGAAGAACGCAAAGACCGUCUCACCUCCGACGAUGAAUCGGAAGAACCGUUCAAACGCCACCAGCACCGUCACCGCCACAACCGUCAUCACAGCCGCAAGCACGACUUCUCUGCCGCUGUUGCCAGUUAAUCGGACGGUUGAGUAUGAUAUGGAGAAAGGAGAGAUUGUGGAAGAAGACGGUGGUGAUGUGUGGCAACAACAGCAGUACGAUGGGCUCCGUACACCACCACCAUCACUACUACUACCGGCAACCUGCAUUUCACAUUUUAGGUAAAUCGUAACAUGCCUAAUUUCAACGUAGGGUUUCUAGGGUUAGGUUAAACAACAGAACGUUUCAAAUUGAAAUCAUUCAGAUGUCUACAAGUGUAUGCUCAUCUGAAUCAGACAACAACAACAACAUUUUCAAUACGAGUGGAAGAUGUAUUCAGGAUGAGAGUUGCAGUCUGAGUGCUGACGUCAGCGACUCGGAAUUCGAGAGGUUGUUUCACCGGUUCGUUGAAAUCGUCGUCGUUUGCUGCUUCUAAUUCUGUUUCCGGCAAUGAUUUAAACUUUCCGGUGCCACUGUUUACGUUUCCGGUGGUUGUCGGGAAUGUUGACGUCAGAAGAAGAUGAAGAAAGGGUCUGAUUCUGAUUUAUCUGGUGGAGCAUAUACUGAAUGACCGAUUACUACAAUUUGUCAAUAUAGAUAUGCUUGACGUCAAGGUAAAUUGUGUCUCUACACAUGUCUCUCUUUUAGGAUGUUUAUUCACGUAGAUCUUAUACUGGUAGCCAUUAGCAGGGAAUACAAUCAAGUGCCAUAGAGGUUACGUAGAAUCUCUAUGAUGUUUCUUUACAUACUGUUGUUAGGCAUGCAUCUUUGGUUAACAAGUCAUUCAUGGCUUGAUACAAUUUUGCUCUCUAGAUAUCAGUUAUAUAGUUCAAUUUGAACUUUUAUAAAUGUUGAUAAACAUCCCGUAUAAAUACGAAUGACCUUUAACUUUUGACGCCGCCGCAACGCGCGGCGGGUCAAAAUCCUA